AAAAUCUUCUCUUAUUUACUAAAUAUCGUCAAGUGUCGGGACUGGAUAAAAAGAUAUCAUCAAGUACCCUAGACCUCUCAAUUUCAUCUCUCUGAAACCACCGCCAGUAUCGAUGAUGGCUGGAACGAAGCGACGAAAGAAAACCGGGAAGUCAGCGGCGAAGACACCAUCACCCCUUUCCGAGGUCUACAGCGCCUCCGCCUCUUCCCAACCGCCGAUCUGGGCCGUCUGUGAGUGAUUACCCACCUCCUGCGCAGCUGUUUCAGACGUCGACGGCCCAACCUCCAGCAGCUUCAGAUCUGGUGCGACAAACUCCUCCACCGCCGCGACCUCGAGGAUCUCAAACGUCGGCGACUGAACAACCUCCACCGUGCCAAUCUCAUGCGAGUUCGCAAGCUCAAAACUCCGACAGCACACAAUCUCCAGAAGGCGAGUUCCCGGAGGAAUCAACUCCAGUACACCCAACUCUCUCUGAAGACCAGAUGAGGGGUUCUUAACGGCUUGCUUUCCCAGCCAGGCCGAGAGCGCUACACUCAGGUUCUUUCUCCCACCUUCGAACCUGGAACCAUAUGGUUUGGUCGUGACAAGGACAGACUUUCCCGGAAGAUCAGAAAGAUCUGUACAAACAAAUUUGAUGAUCCUUUCUACAGUUGGAGUGUUGUUCCUACGGAUAGAAAGGAAAGGUUAUUUGUUUCUACAGUUGGAGUGUUGUUCCUACGGAUGAUGACAAUGAGCUCUUUCUUAAGUCCACUUUCACAAGUAAAAGAGGCAAACCCUAUGGAUUAGGCAGUCUGGAGGGUACUCUUGUGAAUGGGAAGCGGAAGUAUGCUGAAUGCUCAUCUUCAGCAUUCUUGGACCUCCAACAACAGCUGGCUGAAGCUCACCGCAAGAUCCAGAAGCAGGCAGCUUAUAACUCCAAGCUAAAAAGGCAGCAAAACAAGCAUACAAAACACUUUUUUCUAUAAUGGAAAAGUUUUUGUCUGCAAAUAAUCCUAUGUCUGUGGAAUUCAAAGCUUCUAAUCAAGAUGAAGAAGAUGAUGAUGAAGAAGAAGAAGAAGAAGAAGAAGAAGAAGAAGAUGGAGAUGGAGAUGGAGAUGAUGAUGAAGAUGGUGAAGAUGAUGAUUAGGUUCCUUUUGUAGUUUUUGUACUUGGUUUUUUAAGAAACAUGUUAAGUUUCCUUCUAUUAUAGGAGUUUUUUUUGAACUUUUGUUGUAUCAAAAAUAUUGUCUAAAUAUUUUGUAUUAGAAAUUUUAAAUUUGGUUUUUCUUAA